rnacentral:misc_RNA from 1 species
UAAGUUUUAAAAUGACUCAGUCUCCGCUCGAUAUCGGCCGUGCACAGUCAUGUUACCAGUUAUUCAGUGUUUGUUUACAUAAUACUAAAUAUAUCGAUGAUCUGUGUCAGUUUACGAAAUAACAAAAGAUUCGCAAAAACAUGCAAAUAAAUCGGAGACAUUGAAACCACGAAAAACACGAACGAACGAAAUGUGUUCCCACUAACUCUUAACCUGAACGCAUCCAAAAUAGAAAGAGAAAGAAACAGCGCAAUAGAGCUGCGUCCCAAAAUAGUGCGUUCGAAAAUAGAAAAAAAAUGCCUAGCUCCCAAUCAGUUACCGAAAAGAGCGCGGCGGGUGCGGACGCCGCACUGUGGUGGCAAACACCAUGGAAAGCUAUGGCCGACCUAGCCGAAGCAGUUGACGACCUCAUAUGUAGCUUCGAUUACAUGGACACAGCCAUGGACAACCUAGUCAUGCUGAUCUUCAUAUGGAUUCUGUUCUCCAUCGUGCUCCUCGGCAUAGCGAAAUGGGCGUACGCCCGCUUCGCCAAUAAGGCUGUCGAGGUCGACACAAAACAAAAGCCAACGACAGAUGAGACGAAAAAAACAACGAACGAAAUAAUAAACAGUGCUGAUAGUGUAUUAGCUACUAGUGCUAAAGUUAAAAGUGCCUCGUUUAAGCCUGCUAAGCCGACUGGGUUCGUCCCGGCAACCCCGCCGAACAAGCGGCGCUUGGGCCGCAUGUCCCCAGGCCCCGAACAGCUGACGUUAAAAAAGCAUCAAAGCGUGCUAGUACCAACAUGUACGGGACCCGACCCGCCGAGUGUGCAAUGGGUGAACGACCUAUUGACGUGGUUAUAUAAUGAUCUAGUUAUUGUGAAUGAACUAGUACAGCAAUGGAUUGUGUCCAUGAACGAGUUCUCCAAGAAGUCCGUGGAGGAGCAAGGUAUCGGCGUGGAGCUGGUGCGAGCUCUGGACAGUCAUCCGCCCAACAUCUCCAACGUGUUCUGCGAGUGUGACUCCAAGGAUGAUGUCACGAUCACAUGUGACUGUGAAGCCACCCCCGCCUUCCAGCUGAAGGCAUUCAGCCAGCGAGGGGAAAAGGUAGAAGUCUCACACUACAGAGUCAAUGUUAAUAGGUUCCGCGCCCGUUUGAACGUGGUGUGCGUGACGGACAAGUUGACGGGCGAGCUGAAAUGCGACGGCUGGCCCGAAGUAAAGGUGGCACUGGCGCCAGUGGGUGCGCUGCGGCCUAAUGCUACCGAGAGUAAUAUGCAACAGCUUAUCAGUGACAUAGUAGUGAACGCGCUACGCAGCACGAACCUGCAGUUCAGCUUAGCGCAGUACCCGACGUGCCCGCGUCUGCGCCGGUACGUCGAGACGCCCGGGCCCCGGCUGCCGCUGCACUAUGAUUCUAUGCUACAACAAGACAGACAAAUGUACACAUCUACCCCCAACUCGACGGCCGGCAGCGUCACCCUGCUCGGAGACAAGAGGCUGCUCGUCAAGCUGGUCUGCGCCAAGGACUUGGGAGGUAAAACCGGUUGCAUAGCUCCUUACUGCGUGGUGGAGAUGGAUGAGCCUCCGCAGAAGAAUCAGACGGCUUUCAAGAAGGAUACCAACAACCCACAGUGGGAGGAACACUUCUUAUUUGACCUGUCCCCGCAGACGGCAGAGCUUCUGUUCGAGGUGUAUGAUCGCACCGGUCCUCCGUCUCCCGGGGGAGGACCCUCGCAGAACAGGUUCCUAGGCCUGGGUCUGGUGGGAAUAGACGAGCUGCUGGCGGCACCGUCACAGCGCCAACAGAUCGCGCUGCAGACGCGGCCCAUGGAGGAACAUGACGUCAGUGGCACACUCACUGUCGAGUUCCUCUUCAUCGAGGGUGCCGACAUCCCGGACCUGGGCUCCCGGCCCGUCAAGAUCAAGGAGAGUCUGCGGACACUGUCGCCACAUGGACACCUCACCACUACCACUAAGACUAUCUUCAAGCAAAAUGGCCAUGACAACUCCCAGUUGACGGAGUCAGCUCUCCGAGAGCUGGAACUGAGCCCCACCAGCGCCGCCAACAAAUCCACGCUCAUCAUACACUCUGUGCAGAGGGAACCGAAGAAAUCCAUUAAGGUGGAAAUAACCGAUUCGGGGAAAUUCAUCGAAGUGGAGAGAGCGGAAGCGGAUACCGAAGUACCUCAAGAGAGUGGUAAAAUAGAUGAGAGUGAGACAGAGUCGGAGUUGCCAGUUUCCCCCAGUCCUAACGCGUCGCCUGGCAAGACUGUCAGGAUCAAGGAGAAUGGUGCUAAAGCAAAUGGUGAUACCGAGCAGGGUGACUACGUGCAGCAUCAGAACGAGAGCUCGCCGCCCGAGCCUGCGCCCCGCAAACGGAGGCGGGACUUCUUCGGUACUAUUAAGAGAAGACUGGGCCGGUCCCGCACUCGCGGUGCCUCUCUGGACCUGACAGACUCGGAGGUGGAGAACCAGAGCCGCAUCCGCAGCAUCAGCGCAGAGAGGAACGCCCAUGAGAAAGCGCUAUCGAUCCCCAACAGGAACGUGUACUCCGCCGGCGCGUCGCCCGCGCAGUCCGGGGACGAGUCACGCACCUCCAGGAGCGAAGUGUCCGGAUUCAGCACAGCAUCAGCUAGGACGUUCAUCCACGAGGCUUCGACCCUGGUGCUGGAGACCAUAGAAGCUGGUAUCAAGAAGCACUACUUGGUGCCGCUGACCAUCGCCCAGAGAUCAAGAUGGCGGCGGAAGGGCAUUAAGCUUCAUAUCUAUAAUGAGCAUACUUUUAUUGCUAAACAUCUUAGUGGUGGCACAGUUUGCGAAGUGUGUACUAAGACUAUAGCGCGGCGGCUCGGCAAGCAAGGCUACGAGUGUCGCGACUGUACGCUCAAGUGCCACAAGCAUUGCCACGUCAAAGUGGCAACCAAUUGCCCCCGGUCCACCGUGCACAAUAUGGAGCUAUCCAUGCUCCCUGUGUUAAGUGAAUAGUCAAGCUAAGCGAGAAGACUGCAAGAAAAAAUUAUAAAAAAAUACAAAAAAAAAUUUAAACAAGCAAUUUUCACUCAGGACUUACAUCGCAUCUCCGUACACAGACAAAAAUAUAAGGAUGUUGUGAUAGUUCAUAAAGAAGCUUGCGAUAUGCACAAAGCAUCGUUUUUAAAAAUCUACUUAAAUUAUUAAAAAAAAACUAAGUACAACACUAUGUACCCAGCUGACAUAUACAAUAUAUAGGCUUUUUUACAUAUGUUUAUAUGAAAAAAUGAAGUUUAAAAAUUAGAUUUUAAGUAAAUCGUAGGAUUUCUAAGCGUCGCUGACUAUUUAAAAUCUUUAAAAAUGUUACCCGCUUGUCUAUGUAGGAAAAUGUUUUAUUCAGAUGUAAUGGAAUUAAGACACAAUAUACUGCUCUGUUGAAUAUAAACGUGGAUUAAGAUUUAAUGAUAGCUUAUACAAAAAGUUGGCCGACUGUUUGGCAAGUGUUGCGCCGCUUCCGUCUGAGUAAAUCAGGUUCCCUUGGCGUAAAUUGUUAGACUUAGUUUAGGUAUCGCUAGAGCCCACCAUCAAAGCCAAUUUCGAAGCAAAAUAUUAGAUUUCAUUACCACAUAAUAAUAAUUAUAAAUGUCAGCCAAAAAUUAAGAAUUUCACACAAAAUUUUCUACCUCAUUUCUUCAAAGUUACGACAAUAUUAAAAAAAGAAUUAUAGUUACCAUUACAUAUUAUCUUUUUGUUUAUUUUGUUGUUGAAAACACUGAAUGUUUUUUUUAUUAAAAAUGAAAUUGUAUAACUCGAAAUAUUUAUUUUUUAGUUUUAAUAAAUGUGCUUUUUCGCACAAAAUGUGAUCUGUAAUCGUCGAAUGUGCAAUAAGUCUAAUAUUUAAUAAUAAACACGCGCUUUGAGCUUUCAAAUUUAUACCUUACUAUCUUAGAAAAUAAAUAAUUGGCCAUAAAUUGACAGUGACCACCUAGUAGUUUUUGAAAUUAUAACUGGAGAACAUACCCUAUAUUGAACAUAUUCAAUAAUGUAACUGCUCAGUUUAGUCGAUUAUAACAUCCAUUUUAUUCGACUAAUCAUAAUCGAAUCAGAAUCGAUUAUUCCCUAACUUUAAGCCAAGACAUGCCUACAUUUUCAAAUUAAAGCUACACUCAGUAGUUCAAGCGCAAUAAAGCGACGUGGACCAUUCAGGAAUACGAAAAUCUCAAUCUCCAGUAAUAAUUUAGAUUAAAUCGUAUGUAAGAACGCGUAUUGUUGAUUUUUUGUUCAUUAGAGUGACUGAAUUGUAAAGGUAUUGCUACAAAUAUUUUGUGCCUUAGUUUCCCUCCUUAAAACAUAAAUUAGGUAUAGGAUCAGAAGUAUGGUACUAAUUACUUACUGCACAUAUUACAAUGCUAGAGAUGUUUAGUCGAUUUUAUUGCCAGAGUGUGCCUAAAUACAUGAUUUAAUAAUCGACUAAUUUUUUUACCGUUUUACAAGUUGUAAGUUAUAUCGAAAUAUACAUUUUUAAUAUUAUAAUCCUAGUCGAUUAGUGUUCUCCGGAGCCAAGUACAUAAUAUUUGUAGCACAUUUUUUUAAGUUAAAAUUAAUGUUCAUAUUAAUUAAUACAUGACAAACCAUAAGUGUAUCUUUGUAUACUAAGAUUGUUAACGCAUAAUGUUUUAUGUGGAUCCAUAUAAAAUAUACUAUUAUUAUUAUUUAUAAAUGUUGCGCUAUGUGUUCUAUGUAAUUUUAUUUUUCCUCUUUUUUUAAUAAAAUGCCUUUUUUCAA